AGAUUGAUUAGUUUUUAACAACUUGUGACUGGGAGCGGGCGCGGGGAAACUGGUUUGAAAAAGGCGGCAAAGGAUAACGUUCUAGUUCUGGUUAUGCGUUCCACUUCCCAGAUAAAAUAUGCAUAGGAUGAGUUCAACACGUGCACUAAAUUAACCCGGAGUGGAUUGGAGCGGCAGAACGGGCAAAGGCAGGCCGAGAGUCCUGGCAAGGAUAUUUGUCGAACCGGGAAGGCUGAAUGGCAGCAAUUAGCCACAAGCCAAACCAGCCACAUGCAAAAAUGUCAAAGAAAAUGGGAGAGGGACGUACCAUCCCCUCUGGGGCGUUCAUAACUCCGCAUUUCGAUCUCGGCCAGAAAGUGUAUUUUAAGCCCACCCCCCCCCCCCCCCCAGAAACUGACCACGUAAAUCAUGUUGCACUACCACUUUCACUACUAUUUUUAAUGCAUGUGACAUACACUUGCAUUUACGGAGCUGCAUACGCAAUCACAUUUGAUAUUUGCAUGCG
ensembl:ncRNA lncRNA:CR44487 long non-coding RNA:CR44487